rnacentral:tRNA from 1 species
UUGGUGGUGAUUCAGUGGUAACUCACGUGCUUAGUAUGCACAAGGCCCUGGGUUCAAUCUCCAGCACCAUUAAA